rnacentral:rRNA from 1 species
AACGGGGAACGAGCGUUUAUUCAUCAUAACUGGGCGUAAAGGGUUCGUAGAUGGUUUUUUAAGUUUUAAGAAUUAAUAACAGUGACUUUGUUACGAUGAUUCUUUUAUACUGAUAAACUAAGAAUAAGGAAGACGAUUGCUGUACUCUUGAUGGAGAGGGUGACAUUUGUAGAUAUCGACGGGGACAAACCAGGCGCUAUUGCGGCAUUCGAAGGACUUAUUGACAUUGAGGAACGAAAGCAUGAGGAGCAAACAGUU